rnacentral:pre_miRNA from 2 species
UUAAUGCUAAUUGUGAUAGGGGUUUUGGCCUCUGACUGACUCCUACCUGUUAGCAUUAACA